rnacentral:rRNA from 1 species
GAUGAACGCUGGCGGCGUGCCUAAUACAUGCAAGUCGAGCGAACAGACGAGGAGCUUGCUCCUCUGACGUUAGCGGCGGACGGGUGAGUAACACGUGGAUAACCUACCUAUAAGACUGGGAUAACUUCGGGAAACCGGAGCUAAUACCGGAUAAUAUAUUGAACCGCAUGGUUCAAUAGUGAAAGACGGUUUUGCUGUCACUUAUAGAUGGAUCCGCGCCGCAUUAGCUAGUUGGUAAGGUAACGGCUUACCAAGGCAACGAUGCGUAGCCGACCUGAGAGGGUGAUCGGCCACACUGGAACUGAGACACGGUCCAGACUCCUACGGGAGGCAGCAGUAGGGAAUCUUCCGCAAUGGGCGAAAGCCUGACGGAGCAACGCCGCGUGAGUGAUGAAGGUCUUCGGAUCGUAAAACUCUGUUAUUAGGGAAGAACACAUGUGUAAGUAACUAUGCACGUCUUGACGGUACCUGAUCAGAAAGCCACGGCUAACUACGUG